rnacentral:lncRNA from 1 species
CGAGUCCCUGCCCGGGUCUUCCUGCCUCCACGUGGCGAAGCCGCACCUGAAGCCCCACCUGGUCGCAAAGGCUGGUGCAGGGGAAACCGUUGGUUCAGCUGCGGUUCCUGGGAAGGGGGUGCCGCUCUGAUCACGCGCACUUCUGAUUCCCCUCUCGGGGCUCGGAAGCGGCUGAGGGCUCUGGACCCGGUCUCCGAGGCGUGAGGCGGUGGGAGGGUCGGCGGCCGCGUCCUCCACGACCCUGGGGAGAAGUCCCAGUUUCCGCGCAGCCGACAACGGAGUUAACCUCACCGAAAGAUACAACCGAUUUAAGAAGAAAAUGUUAAAACUCUCUUCAAGGGCCUAUAGAAGAAACGGGAUGAAUGGAAACGUGAUUCACUCUGUGGACUGGCAGAUACCUCUGGAAAUCUGGUGUUCUAUUGUAAUAAGUUCUCGGGAAGGUAGAGACUUUUAUUUGGGACAUAGAGGCUUGGCCAACCAGAAUGGAGGACCCACCCAAGUCCCGCCCCCAAGCCUGAGCCCUCUCCUUUGCUCCACCCACUCUGCCUGAAGUCCCCUCAACCCCUCCGACUUCGCAGUCUCCCAGCCCGGCCUUCUGGGGCUGGUCUUCAUUGGAAGCCACGCCCCCAGGUCUGUCGGAUAAACAUUUUACAACCUAUUCUCUCUGAAGUCUAGUACCUGGAGGCUUCCUCUGGAAAUAAGAACUUGGGUCUCCCGCCUGGCCAACAUGACGAAACCCCGUCUCUACUAGAAAUACAAAAAUUAGCCGGUCGUGGUGGCACACACCUGUAAU